rnacentral:tRNA from 1 species
GGGGUUGUGGCUCAGUGGUAGAGCAUUUGCCUUGCAUGUGUGAGGCACUGGGUUCAAUUCUCAGCACCG